rnacentral:rRNA from 1 species
AUUGAGCGCUGGCGGCAGGCCUAACACAUGCAAGUCGAGCGGAUGAAGGUAGCUUGCUACCUGAUUCAGCGGCGGACGGGUGAGUAAUGCCUAGGAAUCUGCCUGGUAGUGGGGGACAACGUUCCGAAAGGAACGCUAAUACCGCAUACGUCCUACGGGAGAAAGUGGGGGAUCUUCGGACCUCACGCUAUCAGAUGAGCCUAGGUACGAUUAGCUAGUUGGUGAGGUAAAGGCUCACCAAGGCGACGAUCGUUAACUGGUCUGAGAGGAUGAUCAGUCACACUGGAACUGAGACACGGUCCAGACUCCUACGGGAGGCAGCAGUGGGGAAUAUUGGACAAUGGGCGAAAGCCUGAUCCAGCCAUGCCGCGUGUGUGAAGAAGGUCUUCGGAUUGUAAAGCACUUUAAGUUGGGAGGAAGGGCAGUAAGUUAAUACCUUGCUGUUUUGACGUUACCGACAGAAUAAGCACCGGCUAACUUCGUGCCAGCAGCCGCAGUAA